rnacentral:rRNA from 1 species
AAACUAAUUAUUACAUAUCGCAUCUUAUUUACUGUGCAGGUGACUAUCACAUCGGUCGAAAGAAGCUUUUCGAAAUUGAAAUUACUAAAGAAUUAUUUGAGGUCAACAAUGACGCAACAAUGUUUAAAUGGUUUGACAACAUUACGCAUUGAGAAGAAAUUAUUAGAUGACACUGACAUCGACCACAUCAGAAGUGACUUUGCAUCAAGGAAUAUUAGAAGAAAUGUUUAA